GACGAACGCUGGCGGCGUGCUUAACACAUGCAAGUCGAACGGAAAGACCCUGCUUUUGUGGGGUGCUCGAGUGGCGAACGGGUGAGUAACACGUGAGUAACCUGCCCUUGACUUUGGGAUAACUUCAGGAAACUGGGGCUAAUGCCGGAUAGGAGCUCCUGCUGCAUGGUGGGGGUUGGAAAGUUUCGGCGGUUGGGGAUGGACUCGCGGCUUAUCAGCUUGUUGGUGGGGUAGUGGCUUACCAAGGCUUUGACGGGUAGCCGGCCUGAGAGGGUGACCGGCCACAUUGGGACUGAGAUACGGCCCAGACUCCUACGGGAGGCAGCAGUGGGGAAUAUUGCACAAUGGGCGGAAGCCUGAUGCAGCAACGCCGCGUGCGGGAUGACGGCCUUCGGGUUGUAAACCGCUUUCGCCUGUGACGAAGUGUGAGUGACGGUAAUGGGUAAAGAAGCACCGGCUAACUACGUG
rnacentral:rRNA from 1 species